rnacentral:rRNA from 1 species
GAUUAACGCUGGCGGCGUGCCUAAUACAUGCAAGUCGAGCGAACAGAUGAGGAGCUUGCUCCUCUGACGUUAGAGGCGGACGGGUGAGUAACAUGUGGAUAACCUACAUAUAAGACUGGGAUACCUUCGGGAAACAGGAGCUAAUACCGGAUAAUCUAUUGAAACGUAUGGUUCAAUAGUAAAACACGGUUUUGCUGUUACUUAUAGAUGGAUCCGCGUCGCAUUGGCUAGUUGGUAAGGUAACGGUAUACCAAGGCAACGAGGCGUGGCCGACCUGAGAGGGUGAUCGACCACACGAGACCUGAAUCACAGACAAGACUCCUACAGGAGGCAUCAGUAGAGAAUCUUCAGCAAUGGGCAGAAGCCUACCGGAACAACACCGCGUGAGUGCUGAAGGUCUUCGGAUCGACAAACUCUGUUAUUAGGGAAGAACAAAUGUAUAAGUAACUACGCACGUAUUGACGGUACCUAAUCAGAAAGCCACGGCUAACUCCGUG